AGGUUUUAAUCAUCACUUCACUUCUACAGUUCCCACACAGAGACAGGUUCCCAUAUUAGGCCAGCAAAACACUAGCACGCCGCAGCCCCACCAAUGAGCGUGUCCCUGGGCGGAGCUUAACUUGUAUCACAGCGGCUCCCGCUAAAAAGCAGGAGAGUAUAUUGGUGCCCAGGCCACACAAAAUUGACCUGCAUGUCCCGGUAGUUCUAUUGAAUCCCCCUCCCGCACACAGUCCUGCAGUGCCGGGGAAUUCAUGGCAGCGCUGGGGCAGGAACCUGUGCCGUUCCCUGGUGCAGCAGCCACACUCAGCCACUUGUUGGAUUCACUGCGGGUAGCCAAUGAGAAUUUAGGGUACUAGUCCCGUUAUCACCUGUCCAAUCAGAAGCUGGAGUACGUGUGACGUGAUUCUACUGUUAGUGACAUGAAAGAAUCCUGUCCUGCUGUCAAACUCUAUGGUACAGGUGUAACUAAGGGAGACCGUUAUUAGCUCAGGCUGUAAUCUCAGCAUGUGCCCAAUGCAAUGGCAAAGCAGUGAUUAGUAAGUAAGUGCACGUCACGUUGCUGCUUUGGAAUUUCUUACGCGAUGGAGUUAUGAGGAAAACGUGAUGCGGCUGCCUACAUCCAUCUUCAGUAGCCGAGACGAGCAGCUGAGGAACAUGUGGAAAUGUCCCUGAGCCAUGGCGCCGAAUUACAGGAAGUAGCACUCGAUCAUUUCACUAAUUGCUCUUGUUGCGCUGAGUUAGCCUGGUAGGGUAUCAGCAAUAGAUGCAGACACUGGCAGUGGCCUCAUUACUUCCCCAGUGGACUCCCAUAAAGCUAUAGCGGAAUUAUAAAGGAACAGGCUGGCUGUCAGGGAGUGCAGUGCAGCCGGGAGUUGUGAAGUGCUCAAAGAUCGUGGGGCCAAAUUGCCAUUAUUGCUGAACAAUAUCCAAAGUUUUUAAUAAUGUAUGAGCCGUGGCUUGGAAGGGGGGUAUGUACCUGCUGAUUAACAGUGUGCAGCCUGGAUUAGAAAUAUCCAAGUAUUUCAACUGUAGAGAAUCACACACACAUAGCCCUGGUCACAUGCUCCAUGGUCACAUGACCCAGAUAACUGCCGUUUUUCUGUCAGUUAGGUGAGCCGAUCAGCCGAAGAACAGGUGAUUUCCUCUGCGAUUUUGGAGCUGACCUGACACGUCCAAAAUUGGAAAAAGGAGAUGAAAGAGAGAAGGUGACAAAGUUAGGUGAGCCGAUCAGCCGAAGAACAGGUGAUUUCCUCUGAGGUUUUGGAGCUGAUCUGACACGUCCAAAAUUGGAAAAAGGGGAUGAAAGAGAGAAGAUGACAAAGAGAAUGUGUGCCCCCUCACCACACCCUGCCCCCAUAAUGGAAAGGAGAGAAACUACAUGUGCCUGAAUCCAUCACUUCACAAUGGAACAAGAGGAGGAAGGGUUCAAUGUUAUCCUAAAGAGGUGGGGAAAAAGUCUAAAUGAGCAUCAUGGUCACUGGAAAAGGGCCUGGCAAAGAGAUCUGCCGAGUGUCAGGCCUGGCCUUGUGAGGUGAAAAAAGUGCAAAGACUUUUGAGCACUAUGGACCCACCAGUGAAGAAAACUGGGAAGUAACUCCCCGAGGAAGAUGCGUUUCACGAAAAUUAUGAGUCUUUGUACAGAUGAGCAGAUGAAUAUGUACUUAAUGGAAGAUGAAUCUAGGAAAUGAACCCUCUUCUACACACCCUAAAUAGAGUUUAUUUCUCUUCAUAAAUCUGAUCUUUAUUCCAAGUAUCUGCGUUAACCUCUUAAUGCCCAGAGGGAAGGGCAGUCCUUCCAGCCAUGGUUCCCGGGGUUUUUCCUCUCCUGAGUGCUGAAGGAUGACUCUUCGUGAGUUCAGAGGUUCCUCUAAAUAUUGACACUAUAAGAUGUUAUUUCUUAAAGAAGCAGUGAGCGAUAUUAAAAUACUUUAAUUGA